rnacentral:rRNA from 1 species
ACUCCUACGGGAGGCAGCAGUGGGGAAUAUUGCACAAUGGGCGCAAGCCUGAUGCAGCCAUGCCGCGUGUGUGAAGAAGGCCUUCGGGUUGUAAAGCACUUUCAGUCGUGAGGAAGGUAGUGUAGUUAAUAGCUGCAUUAUUUGAUGUUAGCGACAGAAGAAGCACCGGCUAACUCCGUGCCAGCAGCCGCGGUAAUACGGAGGGUGCGAGCGUUAAUCGGAAUUACUGGGCGUAAAGCGCAUGCAGGCGGCCUGUUAAGUCAGAUGUGAAAGCCCGGGGCUUAACCUCGGAAUUGCAUUUGAAACUGGCAGGCUAGAGUCUUGUAGAGGGGGGUAGAAUUUCAGGUGUAGCGGUGAAAUGCGUAGAGAUCUGAAGGAAUACCAGUGGCGAAGGCGGCCCCCUGGACAAAGACUGACGCUCA